CAUUCCUACGGGGGGCAGCAGUAGGGAAUCUUUCACAAUGGGCGAAAGCCUGAUGGAGCAACGCCGCGUGCAGGAUGAAGGCCUUCGGGUUGUAAACUGCUUUUAUAAGCGAGAAAUAUGAUGGUAACUUAUGAAUAAGGAUCGGCUAACUCCGUGCCAGCAGCCGCGGUAAUACGGAGGGUGCGAGCGUUAAUCGGAAUUACUGGGCGUAAAGCGCUCGUAGGCGGUAUGUCAAGUCAAGGGUGAAAUCCCCGCGCUCAACGUGGGAACUGCCUUUGAAACUGGCAAACUGGAGUGUGUGAGAG
rnacentral:rRNA from 1 species